rnacentral:lncRNA from 1 species
CCCCGUCACUCCACACUCUGUCACUCCACACUCCGUCACUCUGUCACUCCACACUCUGUCACUCCACACUCUGUCACUCUGUCACUCCACACUCUGUCACUCUGUCACUCUGUCACUCCACACUCUGUCACUCUGUCACUCUGUCACUCCACACUCUGUCACUCUGUCACUCCGUCACUCCACACUCUGUCACUCUGUCACUCCACACUCUGUCACUCUGUCACUCCGUCACUCCACACUCUGUCACUCCACACUCCGUCACUCUGUCACUCCACACUCUGUCACUCCACACUCUGUCACUCCACACUCUGUCACUCUGUCACUCCACACUCUGUCACUCUGUCACUCUGUCACUCCACACUCUGUCACUCCACACUCCGUCACUCUGUCACUCCACACUCUGUCACUCCGUCACUCCACACUCUGUCACUCUGUCACUCCACACUCUGUCACUCCACACUCUGUCACUCUGUCACUCCACACUCUGUCACUCUGUCACUCCGUCACUCCACACUCUGUCACUCUGUCACUCCACACUCUGUCACUCUGUCACUCCGUCACUCCACACUCUGUCACUCCACACUCCGUCACUCCGUCACUCUGUCACUCCACACUCUGUCACUCCACACUCUGUCACUCCACACUCUGUCACUCUGUCACUCCACACUCUGUCACUCUGUCACUCCACACUCUGUCACUCCUCACUCUGUCACUCUGUCACUCCGUCACUCCGUCACUCUGUCACUCCGUCACUCUGUCACUCCACACUCUGUCACUCCUGUCACUCCGUCACUCCACACUCCGUCACUCUGUCACUCCACACUCUGUCACUCCACACUCUGUCACUCUGUCACUCCUCACUCUGUCACUCCACACUCUGUCACUCCACACCUGUCACUCUGUCACUCCACCACUCUGUCACUCCACCUCUGUCACUCCACACUCUGUCACUCUGUCACUCUGUCACUCACACUCUGUCACUCUGUCACUCUGUCACU